CCCCCCCCCCCACACACACACACACGCACACACACACACAAACAAAGAGGCGUUAGGCUGAGACGCUGAAAGUCCGGAUUUAAAGUGCAGAAAAUGAAGCCAUUGAAUCUGCCUGUCCAUGACGUACAAAGACACACUAUGAGCCAGUAUGAUCCGACCAGACCUUACAUCAGCAUUGAGGAGUUGUCGGAGAAGAAAGAGGCUGAUUGAAGCGGGACAGAUGACAUGGAUCCAUCCUUCCACAGCCAGGAGUGCACCGACCUGUGUCCCACACUUCAUAUAAGACUGGAAGCUACACUGAUCUCACAGCUACACACCACAGACGUCUACACACUGGAGAAGAGUCCCACAAAGAAGUCAUGACCCAGAGGCUGCAGAGAAACAUUUCAAGCCUCAUCUGAGUUUUUGUACAAUAUUUUUGCUGUAUGUAAAUAAAGCUUUCACUCCACAUA